rnacentral:lncRNA from 1 species
GCUCCUUAGAAAGGAAAUGAUGCGCAAUACUCCAGUCAUGGGCUGUUGGAAACCAAUUCUUCCAGGUGAAGCGUGAAGCCUUUGAACUGAUCUUCAUUCUUGAGUCUGAUUUGGCUGCUCUGACAUGUAGAGGAGAGCCCCUGGCAGGCCUAGGGGACUGUUCUGCUAGUUUGAAUUUGCCCCCAAGUCAUGAAGGACCUGAAGGACUGGCUGAUGAAGCUUGACAAGCAUUCCAUCUUGAUGGUCUGGACAUUUAUACAUCCCUGGUAGAGUGGAGAGAAUCCUAAAUUUGGAGUAAGAGUACUUGAAUUUGGAACCAAGAAGGUAAAAUAAAAGGAACAUUCUAGCCA